rnacentral:rRNA from 1 species
ACUCCUACGGGAGGCAGCAGUGGGGAAUAUUGCACAAUGGGCGAAAGCCUGAUGCAGCGACGCCGCGUGAGGGAUGACGGCCUUCGGGUUGUAAACCUCUUUCAGCAGGGAAGAAGCGCAAGUGACGGUACCUGCAGAAGAAGCACCGGCUAACUACGUGCCAGCAGCCGCGGUAAUACGUAGGGUGCGAGCGUUGUCCGGAAUUAUUGGGCGUAAAGAGCUCGUAGGCGGCUUGUCGCGUCGGAUGUGAAAGCCCGGGGCUUAACUCCGGGUCUGCAUUCGAUACGGGCAGGCUAGAGUGUGGUAGGGGAGAUCGGAAUUCCUGGUGUAGCGGUGAAAUGCGCAGAUAUCAGGAGGAACACCGGUGGCGAAGGCGGAUCUCUGGGCCAUUACUGACGCUGAGGAGCGAAAGCGUGGGGAGCGAACAGGAUUAGAUACCCUGGUAGUCCACGCCGUAAACGUUGGGAACUAGGUGUGGGUCACAUUCCACGUGGUCCGCGCCGCAGCUAACGCAUUAAGUUCCCCGCCUGGGGAGUACGGCCGCAAGGCUAAAACUCAAAGGAAUUGACGGGGGCCCGCACAAGCAGCGGAGCAUGUGGCUUAAUUCGACGCAACGCGAAGAACCUUACCAAGGCUUGACAUAUACCGGAAAACCGUAGAGAUACGGUCCCCCUUGUGGUCGGUAUACAGGUGGUGCAUGGUUGUCGUCAGCUCGUGUCGUGAGAUGUUGGGUUAAGUCCCGCAACGAGCGCAACCCUCGUUCUGUGUUGCCAGCGGGUUAUGCCGGGGACUCACAGGAGACUGCCGGGGUCAACUCGGA